GAAAAUGAGGAGCAUCCUCAUAGCAGGCCAGGUGUAUGAGGUCUCCCCAGCCCCGCUCACAGAGUGCUGAGCUUGGCUCACCUGCUUCCCAAACCCCCACUACUUCAAGUCCCACCUCAACACACAUCCAGCGCCAGAGUGUUCUAUCCAACCACAGUGGAUCCCUCCCUCUGCUCUAACCAGCCAUCAUGUCUCCUCAACCCAUCUCCAACAGUGUGUUUCACUGCUUUCACAGCGUUGAGGUUCUGUAGUAGAACCUCAACAUCCACAUCAUGCUUCUGAGAGUGAAACACCAUGACUCCAAA